CCCCCACCCCCAGCAUCAACCUGCCGUUGCUGGACCGAACGAUCCCCGACUACACCAGCUUUAACACGGUGGACGAGUGGCUGGAGGCCAUCAAGAUGGGGCAGUACAAGGAGAGCUUCGCCAGCGCCGGUUUCACGUCCUUUGACAUCGUGUCUCAGAUGAUGAUGGAGGACAUUCUCCGGGUUGGGGUCACUUUGGCUGGCCACCAGAAAAAAAUCCUGAACAGUAUCCAGGUGAUGCGGGCACAGAUGAACCAGAUUCAGUCUGUGGAGGUUUGACGUUCGCCUGCCUCUGCUCACCUCUUCCUCCAGGCCCCGCCCCCUCCACCCCUGCCGCCGGCCAUCCUGGUGCUCCGUCCACUGCAGGGUCAGCCACCCGCCAGGAGGCCAGGGGCAGCAGGAAGAACCAAGCCGUGCUCCAGCCACGAGACGUCACCGAGAACACAUGCAACUCAAAGACGGAAACAAAGGGAA